CGUUAUCUCAUACAUGACGUAAGCGUGCUCCGGUCCGGAAUGUUUAGUGCAAGUGUGAGUGCAGGCCAGCGGGGGAGAGCACAUGUCUGAA